rnacentral:lncRNA from 1 species
UUCUGAAGGGCUUCCUAAAAGGGGGAGGUGUUUGGGGGGGAGGGGAUGGGCACAGAGGGCUCUCUCCCACAACAGAGGAUGAGGUAGGGGUAGAGGCUCUGGGGAGGUAAGAAGGGGAAGGAGAUACUUUGUGAAUUUCUUAACUCCAUGUUAAUUUUCUGAAUGUCUUUUGUUGGCGGAAGGUGAGGAGAGGGCAAGUGACAGGCUGAGAUGUUGCUGAAAGAGAAAAGGGAGUAGGAGUGAUGAAGAUUAAAAAGGAGAUAACGCUAGGGAAGGAGAAGAUGAGGAGGGCUGGGAAGGGGUUCUGAGAUGAGCUUGCCCAGGCUGGGAGGGCAGGGCCUGGGAAGCAGUGGAAGAAAGAGGGCUGGGGUAGGGACCCCGGAGGCCACUGGAGGAGGUUUCCUGACAGUUCUCCAUGGACAGGGCUGAUCUCCCUACCCACUCCAGUGCACCACCAGGAAGGGUCUACAAUUGUGGGCAGGCUGGAGGAGAAUCCAGGAAAAGAUCGGUGAUAAGAGCUUGAACCCGAACUCCUGUGUGGAUCUUUGCAGGACCAGACAGGGAUGUUUGAUAUGGCUCCCCAAACUCGGGGCCAUCACCAAAGGUCCUAAGUUGGCAGCAGAAGGGAGUGGAUUUCCCUCAUGUCUAAAAGAGGGAAGUGAAUGGGGUCUUGAGCAAGGCAAGUUUGGGUUUGAGAAUGGAAAACCUAGAAACUAGGAGCAAAGUGAUGCCUGGCCAUCUUGGUCUCAUCCUCCCUCAAGCUGGGGGCCCAGGGAGGGAGAAUAGAAAUGGAAGAUACCAGGAUGGAAGCCACUGUCCAGGAGGCGCCUGCACAGCCGCCUCCCUCCCCGCUCCCGGCGCGCCCCUGUCGUGGAACCAGUUUCAGGCGCGAAAUGUCUUGGGGAACCCAGCGGAAGAGCCGGGAAUGGUUCAGAGUAUGCGGACACUUCUCCGGACGCUUUUAACCCCCGUAGCCCUAGACUUUCUCUUCCUCCAGCCUUCCCACACCCCCAGAUCUCUUGGGGGGCCUACAUCUUCUUUGGCUGGUCUUCUUGAUGAAGGAGACUUUGGUUCCCUCUCCUCUCGUCGCUAAAAUUUGGCCGCAUCGUGCCCCUAAUAAAUGGAAUUGUAAAAUUGCCGGGUUAAUUAAA